rnacentral:rRNA from 1 species
AGAGUUUGAUCCUGGCUCAGGACGAACGCUGGCGGCGUGCUUAACACAUGCAAGUCGAGGGGUUUGGCUCUUUCGGGGGCCAGGCACCGGCGAACGGGUGCGUAACACGUGAGCGACCUGCCGAUCUGCGGGGGAUAGCCGGCCCAACGGCCGGGUAAUACCGCAUACGUUCUCCCUGUCGCAUGGCGGGGGGAAGAAACCUCCGGGGCGGAUCGAGGGGCUCGCGGCCUAUCAGCUAGUUGGCGGGGUAACGGCCCACCAAGGCGACGACGGGUAGCUGGUCUGAGAGGAUGGCCAGCCACAUUGGGACUGAGAGACGGCCCAGACUCCUACGGGAGGCAGCAGUGGGGAAUCUUGCGCAAUGGCCGAAAGGCUGACGCAGCGACGCCGCGUGUGGGAUGACGGCCUUCGGGUUGUAAACCACUGUUGCCCGGGACGAACACACGGUUGCGACCGUGCUGACGGUACCGGGUGAGGAAGCACCGGCUAACUCCGUGCCAGCAGCCGCGGUAAUACGGAGGGUGCGAGCGUUGUCCGGAAUCACUGGGCGUAAAGGGCGCGUAGGGCGGUGGGGUAAGCGUGUGGUGAAAGUCCGGGGCUCAACCCCCGGAUCGGCCGUGCGAACUGCUUCACUUGAGCACUGUAGAGGCAGGUGGAAUUCCGGGUGUAGCGGUGGAAUGCGUAGAGAUCCGGAAGAACACCAGUGGCGAAGGCGGCCUGCUGGGCAGUGGCUGACGCUGAGGCGCGACAGCGUGGGGAGCAAACAGGAUUAGAUACCCUGGUAGUCCACGCCGUAAACG